rnacentral:rRNA from 1 species
UACGUAGGUGGCAAGCGUUGUCCGGAAUUAUUGGGCGUAAAGCGCGCGCAGGCGGUUCUUUAAGUCUGAUGUGAAAGCCCACGGCUCAACCGUGGAGGGUCAUUGGAAACUGGGGAACUUGAGUACAGAAGAGGAAAGCGGAAUUCCACGUGUAGCGGUGAAAUGCGUAGAGAUGUGGAGGAACACCAGUGGCGAAGGCGGCUUUCUGGUCUGUAACUGACGCUGAGGCGCGAAAGCGUGGGGAGCGAACAGG